UUAAUAAAGACAAGUGUUCAGAUUUAUUUGGAAAUUCACAGUUUCUAAUGGUACUACAGCUCUGUAGUUACAUAUUUAAAACCCUCUUUUCACAACACAUAGUGACUUCCCACUCUGGCUCUGCUGGCAUCUGGACUUCAAGGGCCUGCUGUACCAUCAGGCCCUAUUGCUCUGAAUGGCUAAUUGUAGCCAACAAAAGCAAACACAAAGGAAUCAUAAUCCUACUAGACUUCACCAAUUAGACUGAAUCAGGCCUGACGUGCUCACUGGCUGGCUGUGACUAUGUACAAAGGCAGUGAGUGACUGGACCAUGAAAACAUGGUCUUGAUGAUGUGAAAAUUUGGAGGAUUAGUGUUUACUGUGAACAUUUAGAAUGCAAUGUAAAGAAAUCAUCACAAAUACUUAAGUGUGUUUAAAGGUGAAUUUAUAAUAAAUUUGUUUCAAAUACCUGUCAUUUUCAAGAAAAUAUCUUACCAUUUUACUGAGUUAAAAACUCAGGGAAAAAAGCAUAACCCAAUCCAACUAAAUUAAAUAAGACCCAGGGUGAACUCAUCACCUUUUAUCUGAAAGGCCGUUAGAAACUUCAGCAAGUGUUUAUUCCAGUGAGACUACUGAGCGAUUCUAAGUUGGAAGUCUUUAGGAUCUUUAUGCAAAUGACCCACGUUGCUGGGCUUCUGGCAUGGACCACCUUAAAGCUUUGUAGUGUUGCAGCUUC
rnacentral:lncRNA from 1 species